UACGGGGGGAGCAAGCGUUGUUCGGAUUUACUGGGCGUAAAGGGCGCGUAGGCGGCCACCGCAGGUCGACUGUGAAAUCUCCGGGCUUAACCCGGAAAGGUCAGCCGAUACUGCGGGGCUAGAGUGCAGAAGGGGCAACUGGAAUUCUCGGUGUAGCGGUGAAAUGCGUAGAUAUCGAGAGGAACACCUGCGGCGAAGGCGGGUUGCUGGGCUGAUACUGACGCUGAGGCGCGAAAGCCAGGGGAGCGAACGGG
rnacentral:rRNA from 1 species